rnacentral:rRNA from 1 species
UACGUAGGGUGCGAGCGUUAUUCGGAAUUAUUGGGCGUAAAGGGCGCGUAGGCGGCCUGGCAAGUGGAAGGUGAAAUCCCUCGGCUUAACCGAGGAACUGCCUCCCAAACUGCUUGGCUUGAGACCGGGAGAGGUGAGUGGAAUUCCCAGUGUAGCGGUGAAAUGCGUAGAUAUUGGGAGGAACACCAGUGGCGAAGGCGGCUCACUGGACCGGUACUGACGCUGAUGCGCGAAAGCGUGGGGAGCAAACGGG